rnacentral:misc_RNA from 1 species
CAAAGCUCAUUGAGACUUGGGAGAAUAAAGAGGAAGAUAUGGAAAUCUGUAUGAUUCUUUUCUUAUUUAGCUUUUGAGCGACUCAUUUAAAGGCACUUUUCCAGUCGAAUGUUUUUUUUAGAAUUAUAAGCAUUCGCUUUUGACAGCCUUUUAAAGACUGCGUCACCUAGCUCCUUAGACGAUAAAUGAUAGUCACAUUCCCUACUUCACUUGCACGUAUUUGAUCAAGGAGUACCAGAAGACCGAAGAUGCAUGUGGCCAGGUUAAUUAUUCCUUUAGCGAAAAUACUUAAUUUUUUAUAGGAUUUUAUAGCUUUCAAGCUUAGGGAGAUUGGUUUAUUUAUUAACGUUUCUCUUUAAAAAGGACACAGUAUCCUUAUCAUAAAAACUAAGGAUAAGCUAAGCUUGUUUAACAAACAAACUCUUAUCUUCAACAACAUAAAUUAUAAAUAAUUAUACAAAACGAAGAUUAUAUAUAGCACAAGUUAAGAACAAGAAUAUAUAUAUAUAUACUGUAAAUAUAAAUAUGAUAAAUAUGUAUUACGAGUAGAGGAGUUGUUAAUAUUACAAGAUGGCGGAUAAGAAAUGAGAAAAGUUCUCUCUCUUAAUCACACUUCCUCAGGCAAGAACUAUAUUUUUCCGUUAGUUAAGUAAAUAUACAUAUAUACGUAUAUCUACGAAUUUUGUUAAUUUAUCAUCCUUUUUAUUCUCAUAUUAAAGUAGUUUUAUAUAAAAAAGACAAUAUUAUUAUUUUAGAAUCACUUUUAAAAUAGUAAGCUAACUAUUCUUUUUUAACGAAAUCUGUUUUCGUAUAAAUAAUAUAGCUUUUUGUUAUAAUUAGUAAUAAAUUAUUCUCAAUUCAUCGUCAAUUGUCACCCAAUCUCAGCUAGUUUUAAUAAAAAAAAAAGUCCAAACAAAUAGUAGAAACGUAAUGUGUCAAACAUUUCACCAUAACGUAUGAUGCGAGUGAUACAUUAAACGAAUUAUUGUUCGUAUCUAUUACUCUCUAUUAGUUUGUUUUCUUUCUAUAUACUUGUUUGUCACAAGAUCUUUGUAUGAUGAAGGUAUAAACAGUCAGUUUGUACUAAUAUUAAUAGAUAGCAUUAAAUUGUAUGAAGAAAAGGAAUAGUGAUAAUAUAGUAAAGGUUUUAUGAUAUAAACAUAGCGAAUUCGUUUUGCAGUGUCUAAGUUGACAAGAGAAAAUAAUGUUGCUAGAUAAAGCAAGGGAAGAAAAUAUAUCAUUUAAGGUUAGGUAAGCUUUUAAAUUUCUUUCAAUAGAAGGAAAUGCAUACUUUAAUUGAGAGUUUUUGCAGUAUUAUGACUUGUAUCAUUAAGAGAAGGGAUAUUGUUUCAAUUACGACAAAAAUAAAACAAUUUUUUUGUUGUUGCAUCCUCACAGUCAUGUUCAUAGAAGGUUAAGGUUUCCAAUGAUAGAGUUUAGCGUAGAGCCAGCUGGCAAUUCGUCUUUUAUCGCCAAGAUCGUUAACAAGCAUAAAGAUUAUCGGGAGGAUAGUGUUGGAGCCGUUUAUUACGUAGUUAUCGUUAUAAUGAUCUACGCCUGCUCCAUUAUCAUGAUGAUUGCCUCGCACAUACGCAAAAAUAAGAUGGACAGAAAAUUAAGUGCAUAUUUAAAGGAAAUGGCUUUCGUUAGAAAGAAAGAGAGGCAAAUGCAAUUAUUGAACGCUACGAACAAAUUAGCCGCCUAUCGAGGAACUGAUGGACGAGUGGUAAAGGAUGCUCGUGUCGCUCUUAAUAAACCUGUUCCGGAGGAAAUGAGCCUUCUAAAAUCACCCACGAAUAAGCAGUACAAUAUCGUCAAGUUCAAAGACCUGGACAGAUUAACCCCUGAGUCUUGUAGAAAAUCGUCAAGGAAGAAGGGAAGACAAGAAAUGAAAAGUAAAUCCCAUCAUAGCCAACCCUAUUCUACUAAAGUCGUCAUAGAGCUAAACGGUGAAACCUCUGAUACGGAAACAGACGUUUAGAAGUGAUGGUAUCUUUCAAAAAUGUUUAUAAUCUUGCCCAGGUGGCGUUUUUACCGUAACUCCCCUUGUCAAACUUUAUAACUUGUAGUACAAUAAAAUCGAAUAAAUAUUUAAACAUACGUUAAAAGCGACGCUAUUUCCAAAUCGUCGUAAAAGCUAACGGCGUCUAAAAGCUCCUAUAUAAUGGAUUUUACUAAUAUUAGAAAAGCAUAGGGAAAACAGAAAAAGGGAAAAAAAUGGAAAAUUUUGCUAAACAAAGUCAAAGUUUUCUUCUCUCUUCGGUGUGUCGGGAGACGAAGCAGUUUGCUCAACAUAUUCUUCUUCUUCCUCUUCCUCGCAAUUUUCGUCCACUUGAAUAAUGCACAGCUCAUCCGACUCUUGCUCUAUUUCAGUAUUCUUAAGAGAUACAAGUGGUUGAUAGAAGGCAAAUUGUUCAUCUAUUCCCUCUUUCGUUUGCUGACCGGAAGGAACAUCUCCCCAGGGAUAGGAUUCAUCGUCUUUAACCAAUGCCAUUCUCUGAGGUGCUGUGUGUAUAGUCUUAAAAGGAAUCUUUUUCUUUUGUAUCUUUUGCAUUAUUAACCUUGUUUUGAACUUUUCCUUUCUCUUCUCCAAUCUCUUUAAAUUGUCAAGAUCAGCUAUGUACUUGUAAAUAGAUUUAUCGUGCUUUCCUUUAUUUAUUACCGAAGCUAUCAUUAAGAUUAUUCCAAAACCAUAGAUUACAAUAACGGCACACACAUAAUACAAUGCUCCCGAAGCAUCAUCAUUGCGUUUGUAGACCUGAUUUUCAGUUGUAUUAAAACUUUCUUUUAUUGAGGCGAUAAACGUUUCGUUACCAAUAUUUCGAAUUCUCAUUUCAAAUCCAUUCUCUCCAAAUGUCUUCAAUCCCUUUAUACAUUGUUAGAAGUAGGAUAAGAAUUCUUUUUAUAGACUCGAAAUAAUUGAUAUAGUAUGAAAUAUAAUCGUAAUAAAUACAUCUUAGUAUCUUGCAGUACUUACUUGAAUUAGCACAUUAUUUAAUCUAUUUCCUCUUCUGGCCAUUGCUGAUAAAAGCUAUUAAAAAAAAAGGACUAAAUUUAGAAAAAUAUCAUGUAUACAACGACUUUAAUGCAAUGCGAACGCACAAUAACAUCUGUGAGAUUAU